rnacentral:lncRNA from 1 species
GCCCACUGCCGCACGGGGGCGUGGCCAGGUUCUGCCCGGAGGCUCGCCACGCCCCGCUUCACAACCUCUGCAAGCCAGGCAUGCGCAUUACUAACAAGCUCCAGAGAGUGUUUAAAAGAGAACAUCAGUCAUCAGUCAUGAAGCACAAGCACAGAAGCCCCUGAGGAUGCUUCCAGAAUUAUAGAGACUUGUACCAAAUGAACCCAAGGAGAGAAUUCUUAAUGAUGAAGAACUGUUGGAAGCAAGACUGGGAAGGGCUGACCUGUGCCCUUCUAGCAAAUAACACAACGGUGUCUCCAGAACUGAGUGGGUACUAAGACCCUAUGCCCAUACCUGUCCAACCUAUAGGAGGAAGUAGCCUUGGGGAUGUCACUGUGUUCCUGCCAGGGGCCCAAGGCUCAUUAAGCUAAUUGCUUUCUGGGGAAAGUGGUUUUGCUUUAUAUGUCUUAACAUCUGGGGAGAGAGACCACCUGUGCAUCACAGGAAGCACAGGACAGACUACAGCAUGAACAGAGUUGGUGAAGGCCACUGGAAAAAGGCAAGGUAGCCUGUCACAAGGAUACCAACCAAUGUCACCAAAAUGAAAUAGAGGAGCCAGUCUAUACCAGUCAUUGCAGUUAUCAAGGAGAUUAAAAUACCUCUGCUCAGCCUUAAAAAUGAUGAGAGGAAAAUAAAUUAUAAGACAUUAGCAAUCUAAGGAGAAAGUUAUAGAAUAGCACUUAGAAGUCAGACCUUAACACUUCAAGGCCCUUUAGUGGAUGCUGUGCUUGUUAUUGUCAGGUCUAGACACCUAGUAAGAAAGAUGAAUAUCCCAUCAUGCAUUUUAGACUAGUAGUUGAGUGUGAUGCAAAGAAGACCUUAAUAGGGAAGAAAUCUGAAUUUCCCUUAAACGAUAACAACAAGCAAAUAGUUGGACAAAUGGAAUGGCUUGUGUUGGUAGACGUCAUGUUAUUUUUCAAAAAAAAAAAAAGUAAAAUGUUACCUUUUU